CAAUAGCGUAUAUUAAAGUUGUUGCAGUUAAAAAGCUCGUAGUUGGAUUUGUGGCGUACGGUGUGUUCCGGGCACUUGUUGUCUGAGUAACCUGCUGUUGCCAUCCUUGGGUGGAACCUGUGUGGCAUUAGGUUGUCGUGCAGGGGAUGCCCAUCAUUUACUGUGAAAAAAUUAGAGUGUUCAAAGCAGGCUUAUGCCGUUGAAUAUAUUAGCAUGGAAUAAUGAGAUAGGACUUUUUUGCUAUUUUGUUGGUUUGCGCAAAGAGGUAAUGAUUAAUAGGGACAGUUGGGGGUAUUCGUAUUCCAUUGUCAGAGGUGAAGUUCUUGGGUUUUUGGAAGACGAACUACUGCGAAAGCAUUUACCAAGGAUGUUUUCAUUAA
rnacentral:rRNA from 1 species